GUGGGUGGUAGUGUUUUGGAUUUUUUUUUUUUUUAGUUUGGGGAGGGGGUAGGGUGGGGGGGAAAUCGUGCACGUCCCUGGUGGUAGCAGCCCUCCUCCUGCACGAGCACAGAAUAUCCAGCCUGCCGCGAACACCCCCACCACCCCCCUCCCCGUGCAUGCGCGGUGCGGGCUCCGGGGGGAGAAGGCGCGCCGCCGCUUGCGCAGGCACGGAACCGGAUCGGGCCUCUUAAGUGCAUCCCUCUCUAGACAUGUUCCAGAACUAGGUUGCACUUGAUGCUUCCAUGGAGAGAUCAGAUGGGCUGGCAAUGUCAGCACAUCCAUGAACCCUCAGGUCACCGCUUCUUCUGCUGCCUUGAAUGACAAACGUCUUAGAGGAUGCGACCGGUUGCAAACGAACUGAACCUAGCCAACUCCAGGUAGGCCACAGCUCAACAAAGGAAAACAAAAGCCUCACCUAGCGCUGUAAGUACCCUUCCAUCUUCCUGCCCCGAGAACGCUGGAUACGGUGAUGAACAAAGUAAUAUGA
ensembl:lncRNA